GGAAUAUUGCACAAUGGGCGCAAGCCUGAUGCAGCGACGCCGCGUGAGGGAUGACGGCCUUCGGGUUGUAAACCUCUUUCAGUAGGGAAGCAGCGCAAGUGACGGUACCCGCAGAAGAAGCGCCGGAUAACCACGUGCCAACAGCCGCGGUAAUACGUAGGGCGCAAGCGUUAUCCGGAAUUAUUGGGCGGAAAGAGCUCGUAGGCGGUUUGUCGCGUCUGCCGUGAAAGUCCGGGGCUCAACUCCGGAUCUGCGGUGGGUACGGGCAGACUAGAGUGAUGUAGGGGAGACUGGAAUUCCUGGUGUAGCGGUGAAAUGCGCAGAUAUCAGGAGGAACACCGAUGGCGAAGGCAGGUCUCUGGGCAUUAACUGACGCUGAGGAGCGAAAGCAUGGGGAGCGAAC
rnacentral:rRNA from 1 species